CUUGUUCUCUAAAUAAGGACUUGUAUCAACGGCACUACGAGGGUUAUACUGUCUCCUUUUUCCAAUCAGUGAAACUGAUCUCCCCGUGAAGAAGCGGGGAUCAAAAUAUAAGACGAGAAGACCCCAUGGAGCUUUAAACUCACUGUACACCUCUAUGUUCCUAUAUCCUUAUAACACAAGAAACCUGUACAUUAGUUUUAGGUUGGGGGGACCACGGAGUACAACUUAACCUCCAUAACAAAUGGGCUAACACCCUUAUCCACGAGACACAACUCUAAGAAUUAAUAGACUAAUGCUUAUGACCCGAUAUUCGAUCAAUGAACCAAGUUACCCUGGGGAUAACAGCGCAAUCUACUUCAAGAGCUCAUAUCGACAAGUAG
rnacentral:rRNA from 1 species